GAUGAACGCUGGCGGCGUGCCUAAUACAUGCAAGUCGAGCGAACAGACGAGGAGCUUGCUCCUCUGACGUUAGCGGCGGACGGGUGAGUAACACGUGGAUAACCUACCUAUAAGACUGGGAUAACUUCGGGAAACCGGAGCUAAUACCGGAUAAUAUAUUGAACCGCAUGGUUCAAUAGUGAAAGACGGUUUUGCUGUCACUUAUAGAUGGAUCCGCGCCGCAUUAGCUAGUUGGUAAGGUAACGGCUUACCAAGGCAACGAUGCGUAGCCGACCUGAGAGGGGGAUAGGGCCAAACGGAAAAGAGAAAAGGGCCAGAAUCCCAAGGGGGGGAACAGGAGGGAAACUUCCGCAAAGGGGGAAAGGCGGAAGGGAAAAAGGCGGGGGGGGGAAGAAGGGUUUUGGAACGGAAAAACUUUGUUUUAGGGAAGAAAAAAUGGGGAAAGAAACAAGCAAGUCUUGAAGGGAACUAAUCAGAAAAACACGGGUAAAUAAGGG
rnacentral:rRNA from 1 species